CAUUACUGAGUGAGGGCCCUCUGGGUCCAACCUCCCACCCGUGUUUAUUGUACCUUGUUGCUUCGGCAGGCCCGCCUCACGGCCGCCGGGGGGCUUUCCGCCCCCGGGCCCGCGCCUGCCGGAGACAAUCUUGAACGCUGUCUGAAGAAUGCAGUCUGAGCGAUUAAGCAAAAUUAGUUAAAACUUUCAACAACGGAUCUCUUGGUUCCGGCAUCGAUGAAGAACGCAGCGAAAUGCGAUAAUUAAUGUGAAUUGCAGAAUUCAGUGAAUCAUCGAGUCUUUGAACGCACAUUGCGCCCCCUGGUAUUCCGGGGGGCAUGCCUGUCCGAGCGUCAUUGCUGCCCUCAAGCCCGGCUUGUGUGUUGGGCCCUGUUCCCCCGGGAACAGGCCCGAAAGGCAGUGGCGGCACCGCGUCCGAUCCUCGAGCGUAUGGGGCUUUGUCACCCGCUCUGUAGGCCCGGCCGGCGCUUGCCCCCCAUCAAUCUUGUUUUUCAGGUUGACCUCGGAUCAGGUAGGGAUACCCGCUGAACUUAAGCAUAUCAA
rnacentral:rRNA from 1 species